GAGAAACUGAUUGAGUGGCAUGUCUCAUCAUGAAGGCAUGGGAGGAUGUAGAGGAUUCCCUGAGUUCUAAGGGGAGAGAUUUGAUGAAGACAUUCCAUUUAAGACUGAGCGUUUCAAGGUCUCUCACUCUCUGCAUACUGUCUGAUUGUGAGUUUCUGUGUUUGUUCCCAUCUUUUGCAGGAAGAAGCUUCUUUGAUUAUGAACAAGGCAUUGGUACAAGG